GAAGCGGCCAGGUGACUGGAGAAGGCGGAGGAAGGCAUUUCAGGCAAGAAAACAGCUUGAGCAAAAGCCAAGAGGAGACAAAAGAGAGCUUCAUAGAAAGGAAACUGAGGCAGUGUUGGGGCAAGAAUCCUCUUUGUGGUGAUUUCUUAGCACAGCAGAGCCAUUGAAACGUUUGCAAAAUAGCAAAGGGUUCCAGAUGGGAGGGGCCGCUGUUCAAAAUCCAGACCACCCAACGGGCACAUCAGACUCAUAGAACGUUAUCCAAGAUGGGAGAGAGAACGCCAGGAAAAGGAUCCACCCAGAGCAGCACCGUGGAUGCCGUUUGGGCGCACACAUACCGCCUGGGAUCCUGUGAAAAUGCAGAUUCUGAAUCAGCAGGUCUAGGGCGGGGCCCAAGAACCUGCACUUCUGAAAAGCAAUCAAGGAGUGGACAACUCUUUGAGGGGCAAGGAUCCAGAUUCAAUGUUGUUCGACCGUUUCCAUUUUGCAGCACAUCUGUAAAUUUGCCCAAGUUACAGAAAAUAUAGUCCAAACAGAUGAUCAGGGUGGCGAAGUUGUUCUCCUUAAAACUGAAUUCCUUAAUAAAUACUGUGUUACAGAAAUAUAUGCGAGAAUAGAGCAUUUUACAGCAUCCAUUUUAAAAAAUGGUUCUCUCCUUUCUAUGGAUGCAUCAUUCAACUUCAAUGGCCACUUUGGUGGACUCUCUACUAAAGUGUAAGUACAGGAUACCUAUUCUCUAUUCGGAUCCAGUGUGCUAACCCAUAACCACCUCUCCACAAAAUGAUGCAUCUCUGGGAGUGAAUUUCCUAGAAGGCAUCUUGGCCUUGUGGCAGGCGAGUCUAAAUCUGACUCUGCCAAUUAGAAACUAAGAGACCUUGGACAAACUGCUUAACCUCUCUGAUCCUUAGUUUCUGCACCUGAAAAAGCAGCGGAGGGGGGGAGGUAUUAAAAUUUUUAAAAAAAUUUUUAAGUGGGAAAAUAGGACUAUCUGCCUCACAGGAUUAUUGUAAGCUUUAAACAAG
rnacentral:lncRNA from 1 species